GACGAACGCUGGCGGCGUGCCUAAUACAUGCAAGUUGAACGCUUCUUUCUUAUCGAACUUCGGUUCACCAAGAAAGAGGAGUAGCGAACGGGUGAGUAACACGUGGGUAACCUGCCCAUCAGCGGGGGAUAACACUUGGAAACAGGUGCUAAUACCGCAUAAUGCUUUUUCUCACAUGAGAGAAAGCUGAAAGGCGCUUUUGCGUCACUGAUGGAUGGACCCGCGGUGCAUUAGCUAGUUGGUAGGGUAACGGCCUACCAAGGCAACGAUGCAUAGCCGACCUGAGAGGGUGAUCGGCCACACUGGGACUGAGACACGGCCCAGACUCCUACGGGAGGCAGCAGUAGGGAAUCUUCGGCAAUGGACGAAAGUCUGACCGAGCAACGCCGCGUGAGUGAAGAAGGUUUUCGGAUCGUAAAACUCUGUUGUUAGAGAAGAACAAGGAUGAGAAGAGAAUGUUCAUCCCUUGAC
rnacentral:rRNA from 1 species